UCAUCAAAAAUCAUAAAAAUGAAAAGACGAAUGACUUCCACAGCCACUAAUGAGAAAACGAGGGCGUUUAGUCCAAAGGAAAAACGGAAGUGAUUCAUUGAUCAUCUUUGAGAAUACUCAAACUGAUUCACCGAACAAUGACCAGAGGAAAAAUGGCUUUAUUAGCAGAGUAAGAAGGGGAAAUUAGAGUUAACCUUUUUACUCAUUUUAUUUUUGUCAGUUCUCUCCUGCCAGACUUAAUUGCUCGCUCUUCCUUUCUGCCACUUCACACCUCCAAAGCAAUUUCCACUGCCGUGAAACGUGCUCCACGAACACAAAUAGGACUAGUGGGGAGCAUAGCUGCACCCAAUAAAAAGCCAGCAACCCCACUGCUUCCCCCUCUCGCGGAACCCUGAGCGUCCUCCUGUUGACUGCGGCGCCUCGAUGACGUCAGAGUCCACGUACAUCAUCCAUGUAGGUGAUGCUUCUGAAUGAAUGAGUGUCCCCUCCCAUCUCCAUUACUAGUACUACGGGACGACUAUAAGAGCAGAUCACCGGGGCAGCCCGCUGAAUUUUAUGAGACACCGGAAAACGGAUGCGGGACUUGGACAGAAAUCCGAAUCAGAGCUCUUUUUAUUUCUUCUUCUCCUUUUAAAAUCAUGAAAUAACCUUCAUCGUCAACGAUGCGCUUAGACAGAACGCGAUUCGUCUUUUAUUUUGUUUGCAUUUUUUGAAUAAAAGAUUUUUUUUUUUUUUAGAGGAGGUCGGGUUAUUUAAAGAGUUUGAUCGAGUCGUAAACCAUUAAAACCUCCGUUGGACCGGUGAAGUUUUUUUGUUUUUUUUAAAAAAAAAAAAAAAGCACACAGACAGAUCUGUCAAAUUGAGCGCCCGGGCGACCUGCGAUGUCCUGACGUCACCUUCACAGAUACCCAGCCGGGCUUGCAUAAGCGCCCAGCAUCGGCCCCGUCCCCCUGUGUUCCUGUCUGGGGCCCCGUCUUGCGGCUGACUCAUCCAUAACCGGCAUGGAAAUCGAUACGACAAACACGACAACAAGUGGGCUAUGUAACUGUCCUGCCUGGCCGUGCGUAUGACAAGCCUUAGGGCCUCUGCCAAUGGUGUGUGUGUGUGUGUGUGUGUGUGUAUGUGCUGCUCUGAGCAUCGUGUCACUCGGUGGUUUUGUUUAAGUCAAAGCUGUUUUGCACUUUACACCUUUGAUUUGUUUGUGUGGCACCGUUAUUAUAUUAAAAUAAAAUAAUAAUAAUAAUAAUAAUAAAACAAUGUUGGACCUUUUGCACUUCCCCCUCUUUGCAUGCCACCGGCUCCCUCCAAGCCCAAUCUGAACCCACUUUGCCUCAAGUCAGAGCAUCAAUACCUUGGCUCUAGACUGCUUACUGCCAAACCUGACCAGAAGUACAGUAACAGUCUACAGUCAUGGCUACUGACGCCUGGCGAACCUCUGCACGGCGAGUGUGACUCUGAUGAGCUGCGCGAAGCACCGAGGCUGCACGCAAACACACACACACACACACACACACACACACACACACACACAGAAACACACACCCCAACACGCGCAAACGUGUCGACGUCAGCGGUUACCACAGCCAACCCUCCUCUUCCCUCCUGCUGUCUCCAUGGCAACCGUGGCAUUAGAUUGUUACUGUAGCAACAGCACCACUGGUAACAGUCUACAGCCAUGGUCGCUAGGGGGCAAUACACACACCUAAAACCAGAUUAUUGGCGACGCGGAGGAAAAGACUGCAUGUUUUUACUUUCAGGGAGUCAAAGUGGGAUUAUGUAAUGCAUUUGACGAACUAAAGAGUCUGAGCGGCAGUCGGGUGAAUUCAGAGUGAGAUUAUCUUGAUGUUUGAAGUAGAUUCAUGUGGCUGACAGCUGCUGCUGAUUCCACUAUUUUACCUGGUUUCUUUGAAUAUGUGCAAAUUGGAAUGAGAUUAUUUUCUCUCUAAAUAAAGAAUUAUUCACAAGCCCCUGAGAACUGAUGUUUUCUUUGUGUGUCCCCCCCUCCCCCCAGUGAUUUUAAUACAUUUUUCUUUUUGGCCACAGUGUAAAAUGACGUGUCGAUUAUUCUGAUAUAGCAACGUUUUUGGUCGCGGCCUCGUCAGUGAAAUGACUUUUGUUUCUGCGAGCUCCGGCGAAUUCAAGCAGGACACAGACUCUUUAUGCCAAGUUGAACAAAAGCGCCUGAUUAUAAUCAGCUGAAAUUUUAAAACCAGUGAUUGACGUGGUGAUGAAAAAAUGAAUAAUAAUAAAAAAAAGAUUGCAGUCUUUGCAAUCCUUCAGCAGACAUUGGCUGCAGAUGAUUAGGACGUCCUCAUAACGUGUGGAAGAGUGAACUCUUAACAUUAGAGUUCAUGCUGUUUGAAGUUAAACAGAUGAGGAAGUAUAGGAAAAAAGUUCAUAAAUUAUUUAAUAAUGUUCGACUCUGUGCUAGAAUGUUUUAUUUAUUGUCUAGACGUACUUUGAAACAAAAAACUAGAAGCAAAUUCUCUUAGAUGUUCUGUCUGUGAAUGAGGUUGAAAAGUAAAUUUAUGAAAAUCAAUUCACAAAACUGUUGAAAAAUGUCUAAAUACGAUUCAAACCGUCCAGUUUUUAAGGGGAUUGUUCUGAUAAAUAGUAAAAUGGUAAAUGGACUGAACUUAUAUAGCGACUCUAGUAACUUUAAAACAAUCACUAUCUGACUUUGAGAAGUGUGUGUGUGUGGGGUGUGUGUGGGUGUGUGAGAAAGGAUUUUUCUAUGGGAAGAAAUGUUCAAUGUUAUUUGUCUGGACGUUAAAGAAGUCACCAUCAUGAACACGGAUAAGUUUACAUUUGCACACAAUGCUGAUUUUCUUGUACAAUGAUAAAAGACGAUAUUCUGACAACAAAACGGAUGGAAGAUUUUUUCCAAAAGGUUUUUUUUUGUUUCAUUGAAAGUACAAAGGCCAAACAUUAAAAACAUGAAGAUGGGGCGUGUUUUAUCUUUUGCAGGUCUGCAAUUACACUUAGCACAAAUCAAUACACGUGCAAAUGUUUAAUGUUAUGAAAAUAAUUGUAAGAUUAAACAGUCUGAUUAUGUCA